GACAGCUACAGCACUGGCGUCGGGGGGCGUGGGAUGAGCCGCUGUAGGCAGGAGGGGAGUGGUCAGUAUGAAGUGGCGGGUCCCGAAUAGGUCUUUAAGACGAGCCCAGCGCGGGAAGUACCCUCUGGGGGAGGCUGGUGGGCUGAGAAAGGACAAGUAAAAAAUGGAAUUAGGGGCCUGACUCCGUGGCAAAGCUACGGGGAGAAACGGAUGAUCUUGUUGGGGGAAGAAAUUGGGGCUAGAGAGUGGGAGAGAUUGGAUGACUUGUGGACCAGACGGGAUAGGUGCUGUGUGGUGUGUGUGAGUGUAGGGGGUGGGGGUGGUGAGGAGUACUCUGGGGUCUGGGGAGGUGCAGUGGGGUCAGGAGACUGUGGGGUGAGAAUGAAGACCGCUGAAUGGGAAGGGGGAACAGAGACAUUUGGGAUCAAGCCAUUCCAGACCAGAGCCAUCUUCCUGUCCCAGCUCUGAACCCCAUCUCUCCGGCCUCAUUUCUUUGACCCGGGUCAGAGCUUUGCUCAUGGUUUCCGCUUUCAUGGUGCAGCGGAGUUCACACUAGCCAGUGUUCUGGUAGGUGGAAAGGUAGCACUGCCCCAUCACUCCUGGGCCUCCCCCAUCUUUGCUGAGUUUCCCCUUUCACAUUUUGUCCUUCAUAGGUAGUUGGAGUCUAGUUCCUAGGUCAAUACUAGCUAUAGCUCAGGGCACAGGGGAGCAGGUGGCUGUGCAAAGCCACUUUCAGGCUGUGGACACAGGGCUGAGAAAUGGAAACCCACCAGUGCCCAUUCCAGCUAUGACUUGGCUGAGGCAGCCUUGGGUCAAGGCCUCUCUGUAGUCCUGGUUUCCACCAACAUCAGGAAGGGGAGCUGCAAGAGCCAUCUAGGCAGGCACCCCAGGACUGUGCCAGUGAAUGUGAGGGUGGACUUGCUCUAAGGAAAAGCUGUUUGCUUGCCAACACUGGCCACUGGUGACAAAGGAAACGCCAGAUGCCAAGCCAGCCUGGCAGAGAAGCACCACUCAGCCAGGAUACCUGGCAAGGAGGACACACCUGCUCCUCAGUCUUAAAUGCUUUUUGCUUCACCUUCACCACAAAGGCACAACAGCCCAGGUAUUGAUCUACAGCAUAUGAAUUUACACCUUUAACAGGACAAGAGGCAAAUCUGAGAAGACUUCCAGUGAGGCACUAGUCAAGAGCUGAAAUAUUCCCUGCCUGCUGUCUCUUACUCUAUGCUCACACUCUGUGAGAGGCCACUUUGUGAUUCCAUGGAGUCCCAUUGGAGAGGUAACAAAUACCCCAUGAAGGAGCUCUAGAAAGAGGACAUUGAUUUGGAAGUGAACAGACUAGUGCCUGCUGGUUCCUGGGCCACUUGUACCCCAUGGCUGAGAUGACAGAGGCCACCUAACAGCCUAAGUCACAGCACAGAGACAAAGUGGAAUUUCAGAGCCCUCAGCAUCAAAAACAAGUCACCUAAGCUAAACCUCUGCGUGGUAUGUGGUAGGGCUUCUGGGUAGGUGCAGCCCAUGAUUCUGAUGUUGAAACAAAUUGUAGUUACGGGAAUAAGAUGUCCAAAGGAAGGACUCAGACAGUUGGGUGUCUGCAAGCAGGCUACUCCUGUGAUACCAACAGCCUUGACAUCUCAGUGCUGCUAACAGGGGUAAACUGAGAAGCAUCCGAACUGGGCACUUAGCCCUCUCAUACUUCCUUGCGCCUGAGCAGAGCUCAUCUACCAAGAGCACAUCUCCCAAGAGCACACCUGCCUGAAGCCCAGCCUGAGAUGCGCCAUGAACCUCUCUGCCAGUGGCAGCCCCUGAGCCAUCUGGAAAGAGCGCUUCCUAGACUUAGAGUGGAAGUCAUGGCUUCCCCCAAGAUGCAGGUGCUGACUGUGAGCUGGCUCCCAGGCUCCCCUUUCAGCUGUCCAUUCUGGAAACCUGUCAACUGGAACACACCUCCCAAUACCCAACGGAGUAUCUCCUCAAGGGCACUCUCUAAUGCCUUUCUUAUUUAGGCUGCGCUGGUGAUGUCCUAUAUUUUUACCCUCUUCUACCCAGCUCCAUAGAUACCUGGCAGAAAAGUUAGCCUCUACCCUGAGGUCUCUAGCCAGAAAAGAUCUGCUGAUGAUUGAGGAAGAACUUCUUAAGAGUAAGAGAUUUUCAGCCUUGUUUCUGAAAUAAAAAGAUCUAAGUGUUGGCUUUAUGAAAGAAGAAAUAAAGAGAAACCCUUUUCUCCCCUCCUUCAACUGGUCUAGAAGUCACACAAGGAGUCGCAUGUGUCUAGAAGUCACACAAGGAUCCAAAUCAAAAGCAAAGCAAAUACAAACAAGCAAAACCAUCAACAUAUGCAUUCCAUGAAGUGCAUUUCUUAGUCCAGCUUGUACUGGUUUGGUCCAGCACGAAGGCCAAGUACUCCUGGUUUAGAACUUGCAGGAAAGUUCACAAAUCCAAGUAAGCUGCCCAAAGGGAUACUCCAGAUGGAUCACUACCAAUACAUUCAUAAGAAAGCACUGGAGCUUCUCCAAAUAGAAUUUACUUCCAAGUUUGCAGUCCACGAAGGUUUCACGUAAUCAUUUGGUCCACAUCAUCCUUUAAACUCAGGAGCAUUCACACCGUUACAUCUCUACACUUUCUAAUAUUCUACACAACCUUUAAAGGAGUGUUUCUCUGCAUCUUUCAUUCUGUGGACAUUGCCCACCCCCUCCAAAAUAAUUCCUACGUUUUUCAAUCUUUGGAAGUUUCUCUCCUCUGAGAGGCCUCCAGAGGUCCAACUUUAAUAGAAUCUGAGGAAAAAAGCUGGCCAGUCUAUGUGCUAUCAACAGUGAUGCCAAACUCUGACUUCUGGAGCCAGUUCUCCCUGCUGGGCAGUCAGGAAACAAGUAAGUGAGCAAGAAGUAACCUCAGAAGAAACAAACUUCAGGAGAAUGUGCACUGAGAAAAGCCAGACUGCGUCCCUCUGGAUCAAGUUAAUUAAGAAACAAUUAAACAUGACAGUAUAUUGGAACCAAAACCAAAGAAUACCGUGAGGGCAGGUUUCUCCAUAGCCCAGAGAAGACACAGUUCCUUUUCAACUAAAAAUAGCCACCAGAACAUAAGCCAAGAAGCACGGGUAAGAGCUGAGAACCAUAAAUCAGCAAUGGGUAAGGACGUGGGGUGGAGGAGGAAAGUUAAGUAUCCACUUUAUUUCUUACGUCAUUCCUUAGAUUUGUGUCUGGCCCUUGGGAUUCAACAGUUCCCCGCACCCUGCGACGGGACAUCAGGCAACAGGCUAGGAGUUUGGCCAACAAGUUCUUACACGCCUCACAAUUAUGCUAAGAGCUUGCAGAUAUCUAGCUGGAGGCUCAAGGACCCAAGUGAAAACAUUAGAAGGUUUUUUGUCCACUCCGCAGCCUAAGGCGAGAGGUCAUCUGCCCAGGGAGUGCCCUCGCGUCCUGGCACUCUCGAUUGGGGUAACACUGGUAACCAGGUUGGCUUCUACACCCAGCAGUGCCCGUGUGGUUGGCGCCAUCUGAAUUUAAAGCAUUCUCUGGCCCUCUGGGUACUUGGGAGAGCCCUGAAUCGUUCAUGGGCACCUAGAACGGGAGUGCAGGAGGAUUCCUCAAACGCAUGGCAAGCGCGAGGGGCGUCGGCCGCCUUCUCAGAGCAGGCCCAUGCAAUGGCCACGGAAAGAGCAGCGCUGAGAUGGAUCGGCGACCGGGCGGAAAGGUGCCAGGCUCGCCCCGGGUGCCCACUCCUCCUGGCAGCCCCCGGAAGCGCCGCCCUCCGGUCCUGUGGGCUCCGAGGGGGCGGGGAGUCUAACGCCCCCUUCCGGGUGCCUCCGCCCGGCUGGCCAGCCCCGCUCCUCCUCCGGGCGGGAAUCCUCCCUCCCCCGCCCCUCCCGGAGCCGGGCCCCGGCGCCAGGCCCGGCCCCAGGGGGGAACCCCCGGCUUCGGCUCCCCCUCCCUGCGGCCUCUGCCCGUCUUCCUGACCCUUGGGGGCCGGGAAGACCCCACCGGCAGCGGCCAGG